GCGGAUUCUGGGUCUUUCUUUCGGCGUGGCCAGUGAGGGCCCGUGCGGCGACCGGCGGCCGGGAACGGCAGUAAAUAAAGUUGUAUCACCCAGAUUGUGUCCGGCUGGUUCUUCCGCGCGUGUCUGCACUGCCUUUGACCCGGCGGUGCCCGCCUGGCGCCGCCGGCCAAGCAGCGGUGCUACAGCGAAGUGCUUGUUCAUAACUGGCGCUGCUCGGCCCUACCCGGGCUGCGCUUUUAAAAGCAAGUGACAUU